AUUGAACGCUAGCGGGAUGCUUUACACAUGCAAGUCGAACGAGUGGCGGACGGGUGAGUAAUAUAUCGGAACGUGCCCAGUAGCGGGGGAUAACUACUCGAAAGAGUGGCUAAUACUGCAUACUAUUGGAGCGGGCGAUAUUUGAUUAGGUAGGUGGUGGGGUAAAGGCUCACCAAGGCAACGAUCCGUAGCUGGUUUGAGAGGGUGACCAGCCACACUGGGACUGAGACACGGCCCAGACUCCUACGGGAGGCAGCAGUUGGGAAUUUUCGACAAUGGGCGAAACCCUGAUCCAGCCAUCCCGCGUGUAUGAGAAGGCCUUCGGGUUGUAAAGUACUUUUGGCAGAGAAGCGGUAUCUGCAGAAUAAGCACCGGCUAACUACGUGCCAGCCGCCGCGGUAAUUC
rnacentral:rRNA from 1 species